rnacentral:rRNA from 1 species
UACGAAGGGGGCUAGCGUUGUUCGGAUUUACUGGGCGUAAAGCGUGCGCAGGCGGUGAGCUGUGUCCGAUGUGAAAGCCCCGGGCUUAACCUGGGAAUGGCAUUGGAAACUGGCUCGCUGGAGUGUGGCAGAGGGGGGUGGAAUUCCGCGUGUAGCAGUGAAAUGCGUAGAGAUGCGGAGGAACACCGAUGGCGAAGGCAGCCCCCUGGGCUAACACUGACGCUCAGGCACGAAAGCGUGGGGAGCAAACAGG